GAUGAACGCUGGCGGCGUGCCUAAUACAUGCAAGUCGAGCGAACAGACGAGGAGCUUGCUCCUCUGACGUUAGCGGCGGACGGGUGAGUAACACGUGGAUAACCUACCUAUAAGACUGGGAUAACUUCGGGAAACCGGAGCUAAUACCGGAUAAUAUACUGAACCGCAUGGUUCAAUAGUGAAAGACGGUUUUGCUGUCACUUAUAGAUGGAUCCGCGCCGCAUUAGCUAGUUGGUAAGGUAACGGCUUACCAAGGCAACGAUGCGUAGCCGACCUGAGAGGGUGAUCGGCCACACUGGAACUGAGACACGGUCCAGACUCCUACGGGAGGCAGCAGUAGGGAAUCUUCCGCAAUGGGCGAAUGCUUGACGGAGCAACGCCGCGUGAGUGAUGAAGGUCUUCGGAUCGUAAAACUCUGUUAUUAGGGAAGAACAAAUGUGUAAGUAACUAUGCACGUCUUGACGGUACCUAAUCAGAAAGCCACGGCUAACUACGUG
rnacentral:rRNA from 1 species